rnacentral:rRNA from 1 species
CAGUCGAACGGUAGAGGAGCAAUCCUCGAGAGUGGCGAACGGGUGAGUAAUACAUCGGAACGUGCCCAGUCGUGGGGGAUAACGUAGCGAAAGCUACGCUAAUACCGCAUACGACCCGAGGGUGAAAGCGGGGGACUCGCAAGAGCCUCGCGCGAUUGGAGCGGCCGAUGGCAGAUUAGGUAGUUGGUGGGGUAAAGGCCCACCAAGCCUGCGAUCUGUAGCUGGUCUGAGAGGACGACCAGCCACGCUGGGACUGAGACACGGCCCAGACUCCUACGGGAGGCAGCAGUGGGGAAUUUUGGACAAUGGGCGAAAGCCUGAUCCAGCCAUACCGCGUGCGGGAAGAAGGCCUUCGGGUUGUAAACCGCUUUUGUCAGGGAAGAAAUACUUCGGGCUAAUACCCUGGGGUGAUGACGGUACCUGAAGAAUAAGCACCGGCUAACUACGUGCCAGCAGCCGCGGUAAUACGUAGGGUGCAAGCGUUAAUCGGAAUUACUGGGCGUAAAGCGUGCGCAGGCGGUUCUAUAAGACAGAUGUGAAAUCCCCGGGCUCAACCUGNGAACUGCAUUUGUGACUGUAGAGCUAGAGUA